UUUUGUCUCACACAUCCAAUAUAUUCACUGAAACGCCCUGCAGUCCAGCGUUAAAGUCAUUUAGGCAUAGGAAGUACUCUUAUUUAG